AUUUGGAGAAAACAGAGAAAGGAAGACAUCAGGGAACGCAUUAGAGAGACAUCAGGGCGGUGGUUGUUCAGAAGUCACCUACCACCGUUUACCAUACCAACAGAGAUUAUCCUUCACUUUCAUAAACGUUUUUCCAAGAUUCACCCAUAUAGAAAAGCCCUAACAUGUAACAUCUUCUCUGGUCUCUGAAACGAUAAUGUCAUCGACGAUGAACGCAAAUCAGGUGGCAGGUGACGAACACAGGCGAUGAACUAGGGUUUCUUCACAUCCUUUUUUGGAGCUUUGGGCAAUCAAUGUUGAACCGCUAAAUCAGUGUCUGCAAAGUCGUCGUUCUAUCCGAACCGUUCCCACGCGUCAUCCUUCGACGGUCUGGCUACUACGGUUGUGAACAGCCAGCCGUCACUGUCCACUGCACCAGUGGAACUGGAUUGAAAAGGUGAAGAGGAUUAGCAACACUGGACGACACCGAUUAAUAACAAUCUGCGGGGUAGUGGAAACGGAAACUUCUACUUGUCGCCCUUGCCCGCGACGCCGGUUGGCCCGUUGAACGGUACCACUAUUCCCCAAUCCCUAUCCUAUUCUAAAUGUGUGGCAUAGUAUUUUCCUCUUUGAGUUUAUAUUCAUCCACCGAAUCAACAGCCACGUAAUGAUGAGAUUAUCAUCAGCUAAAAAAUCUCAUCAAAAAAGCUAUUCUUUUCUCUCCACACCUCGAGCGUCGGACAGAUGACAAGCACCACCCUCUUAGAUCAAAACGGCUAUUUCCACAACCGUCGCCAUCUCAAAUCAAAACGACGAUUUCCAUGGGCAUUGGUUCCAUUUUAUCUCCAGCCGUCCGUCGAAGCCCCAAAGCGGCGGCGUUAGGGUUGCUUUGCGAACUGGCCGCCGAAAUGCGACAACGCAAGUCAUUGCCGGAGUUCAGAAGUAAUUUGUGAAGAAUAUUUAGUUGUCUCUAUAGUGAAUUUUAUAGAAUGGUGACGAGAGGGGGUCCGCAGAACAGAGGUGGUUGAGAGCGGCGGGUUUAUAACUUUUGGUAAGUUUAUAGGUGGAUAAGGGUUUUAUAACUUGUGGUAAUUUAUAGAUGACCGAGAAGGGUUUCGACGGCUGUGUUUUGUACAGUGUUAUGGCGAUUGUAGUGCCGGUGGUUGUUGAGAUGAGGAUGGCUGAUGCGUCGGCUUCUGCGAUUGUUGAUUGAGGUUUAAUUUCUUCUAUUAAAGAGUCGGUAGCGGGUGGUGAUGAGAGUUCUCGGUUCAUUCUUAUGCCUCAUAAACACAGGUUAGGUUUUUAAAUUUCUUUAGUUUUGGUGUUUAAAUUAAGUCUUCUUACAAUUUGAAGUCUAACUACUGUUGCAUAAAUUUUCAACUUAGAUUUUUAGUAUUUCUCUAUCACUAAAGAAUAAUCAGACCAGUUUAAUCCUCAUUUGUGAAAAAACUUCAUGGAUCUUAUUACUAUUACAGCUUCUAGAAAUGAUCAACUGUGUGAUAGCCUUGAAUGCAAAGAGCAAGUUUAGGUUACUUAAUUAGUUGGGAGUUUGAAGACCAUAUAUGCUAGAUCUCUAAGGGUUCUACUAAAUUAGAACGGUCCCAAUUUCUCAAAUUCACUUUUAGCUUAUCACAAAUAUAAAACUUUGUAUGUCCCAACUCCUGGCAACAACCCAAUUAUAAUUAUUUAUCGAGUUCAGCGUUAAUCUGAUUUUAGUAAGAUUUUGUGGCGACACUGAGCUCUUCAAUAAUGAUGGCCAAACUUGCCUUAUUGUUGUUUAAACCUUAUAUCAGGCAAUAAAAAGAUGGAAUUAAAGAACGGGAGCACUUUUUUAUACCCAACUUAUAGUCUAAACAUAAAAUAAUUAGUUUCAUCAUCAACUGAGGUAGGGUUGUUAAUCAUGUCGGAGUGUUGACGAGUUAAAUCGUUGAACCCACGGACAACAUAUAUUUAUUUGGUUUAUUUAUUUUCUAUAUUGUGUGGACAUAUUCUCGGUCUUUUAUUAUUUGCAGAUUUUGACUUAUAAUUAUUAAUCCAAAACGGACAACGUGGCUGUGGGUUGUCCUUUAUGACAACAAGUAGCACAUAGGCUACAAAGGCUGGUGGUGGUUCUUAAAUCUACUUGCAACACACUAAGGUUUUGUCUGAACUAAGUGUGUCAUAAUUGUUGUAUGAUAUGUGUUUCAAGUCAUUAGGUCACCUAUGUACCAUUAUCAUGGUAAUAACACUCGCUUUUAUAUAUGAGAAGUUCUAAGUUUAUUGUUUGAUUGUAGUUACGCCAUCAAAAAUUAUAUGGUUAGCAUUGGCGGCUUGAAGACGCUUCGCGAGUGGUUAGAAGUUGUCGUUGGCCAACCGUUAGAAGUUGUCAUUGGUCAUAGGUAAGGUAGGUGGUGUUUGAUGGAGCUGGUAACAAUUUAGAAGUUAGUGCAUUUGUAACUAUUUAGAAGUUAUGUAUUUGUAACAGUUUAAUUUAAUAGAUUUUUACAAUAUAUAUAUUUUAAUUU